CUCACUGCAUCUAAUGGAUUCUUCCAGGAAAAUCCUUCCGGCUAUCCUCCUCAUAGCUCUGCACCUCAUUGCAUCAGUGACGGUUGAUGGGAAGCAACAGAUACCAAUCGGAAUUAGGCCCUGUUUUUCAAAGAGCCAGAAGUGGAAGGGAGCUUGUUUGAAGCAUCAAAAUUGUGCCAGCGUGUGCCAGAACGAGGGCUUCCCUGCAGG
rnacentral:misc_RNA from 1 species